rnacentral:rRNA from 1 species
GAGUUUGAUCCUGGCUCAGGAUGAACGCUGGCGGCGUGCCUAACACAUGCAAGUCGAGCGAUUUACUUCGGUAAAGAGCGGCGGACGGGUGAGUAACGCGUGGGUAACCUGCCCUGUACACACGGAUAACAUACCGAAAGGUAUGCUAAUACGAGAUAAAAUACUUUUAUCGCAUGGUAGAAGUAUCAAAGCUUUUGCGGUACAGGAUGGACCCGCGUCUGAUUAGCUAGUUGGUAAGGUAACGGCUUACCAAGGCGACGAUCAGUAGCCGACCUGAGAGGGUGAUCGGCCACAUUGGAACUGAGACACGGUCCAAACUCCUACGGGAGGCAGCAGUGGGGAAUAUUGCACAAUGGGCGAAAGCCUGAUGCAGCAACGCCGCGUGAGCGAUGAAGGCCUUCGGGUCGUAAAGCUCUGUCCUCAAAGAAGAUAAUGACGGUACUUGAGGAGGAAGCCCCGGCUAACUACGUG